rnacentral:tRNA from 1 species
CAGAGCGUAGCUAAGCGUAUAGCACCUCCCUUACACCGAGAAGACGCCCGUGCAAGCCGGGCCGCCCUGA